UUACUGCGAAGGGGGGACGGAGAAGGCUAUGUUGGCCGGGCGACGGUUGUCCCGGUUUAAGCGUGUAGGCUGGUUUUCCAGGCAAAUCCGGAAAAUCAAGGCUGAGGCGUGAUGACGAGGCACUACGGUGCUGAAGCAACAAAUGCCCUGCUUCCAGGAAAAGCCUCUAAGCAUCAGGUAACAUCAAAUCGUACCCCAAACCGACACAGGUGGUCAGGUAGAGAAUACCAAGGCGCUUGAGAGAACUCGGGUGAAGGAACUAGGCAAAAUGGUGCCGUAACUUCGGGAGAAGGCACGCUGAUAUGUAGGUGAAGUCCCUUGCGGAUGGAGCUGAAAUCAGUCGAAGAUACCAGCUGGCUGCAACUGUUUAUUAAAAACACAGCACUGUGCAAACACGAAAGUGGACGUAUACGGUGUGACGCCUGCCCGGUGCCGGAAGGUUAAUUGAUGGGGUCAGCGCAAGCGAAGCUCUUGAUCGAAGCCCCGGUAAACGGCGGCCGUAACUAUAACGGUCCUAAGGUAGCGAAAUUCCUUGUCGGGUAAGUUCCGACCUGCACGAAUGGCGUAAUGAUGGCCAGGCUGUCUCCACCCGAGACUCAGUGAAAUUGAACUCGCUGUGAAGAUGCAGUGUACCCGCGGCAAGACGGAAAGACCCCGUGAACCUUUACUAUAGCUUGACACUGAACAUUGAGCCUUGAUGUGUAGGAUAGGUGGGAGGCUUUGAAGUGUGGACGCCAGUCUGCAUGGAGCCGGCCUUGAAAUACCACCCUUUAAUGUUUGAUGUUCUAACGUGGACCCGUGAUCCGGGUUGCGGACAGUGUCUGGUGGGUAGUUUGACUGGGGCGGUCUCCUCCUAAAGAGUAACGGAGGAGCACGAAGGUUGGCUAAUCCUGGUCGGACAUCAGGAGGUUAGUGCAAUGGCAUAAGCCAGCUUGACUGCGAGCGUGACGGCGCGAGCAGGUGCGAAAGCAGGUCAUAGUGAUCCGGUGGUUCUGAAUGGAAGGGCCAUCGCUCAACGGAUAAAAGGUACUCCGGGGAUAACAGGCUGAUACCGCCCAAGAGUUCAUAUCGACGGCGGUGUUUGGCACCUCGAUGUCGGCUCAUCACAUCCUGGGGCUGAAGUAGGUCCCAAGGGUAUGGCUGUUCGCCAUUUAAAGUGGUACGCGAGCUGGGUUUAGAACGUCGUGAGACAGUUCGGUCCCUAUCUGCCGUGGGCGCUGGAGAACUGAGGGGGGCUGCUCCUAGUACGAGAGGACCGGAGUGGACGCAUCACUGGUGUUCGGGUUGUCAUGCCAAUGGCACUGCCCGGUAGCUAAAUGCGGAAGAGAUAAGUGCUGAAAGCAUCUAAGCACGAAACUUGCCCCGAGAUGAGUUCUCCCUGACCCUUUAAGGGUCCUGAAGGAACGUUGAAGACGACGACGUUGAUAGGCCGGGUGUGUAAGCGCAGCGAUGCGUUGAGCUAACCGGUACUAAUGAACCGUGAGGCUUAACC
rnacentral:rRNA from 1 species